rnacentral:tRNA from 1 species
GCGGGUAUGGCGAAAUUGGCAGACGCGCUAGACUUAGGAUCUAGUUCCUAGUGAGUGCAGGUUCAAGUCCUGUUACCCGCACCA